UAGAUAGAUAGAUAGAUAGAUAGAUAGAUAGAGAGAGAGAGAGAGAGAGAGAGAGAGAGAGAGAGAGAGGUGUUCAGAAAAAUUCAUUUGUGGAACGUAAACUGCAACAACGUCCUCUAAUGGCCAAACUUUAUUCACCGGAAACAUUCUCCGAUGGACAGCUUCUUGCAACAUAACAGUCUCAUAUGCUUCUUGCAAGCAUCUCCUGGUACCUCCUGUACGACUCCUGCUUCUCCAGCCUAAACUUCUCAUGGCACCUCGCUAUAAACCUCUCCGCGAGCCGAUCGAUCUCGCUUCCUUCGCCCGUAUCCCCUCCCGAAGCCUCCGACUCGUCCUCGAGCCAGUCGAGGCACCCACCGAGUGGUGGCUCCGCCUCACCAGCGCUGUCCUCGGUGAAGAUCACCGUCGAGUCAUCAAACUCCGAGAUGGGAAGCUGCGGCGGCAUGGGUGUCACGCACGAGGAUGACCAGCUACGGUGCAGCUUAAAGAAGCCGAAGAGCUUCUUCUUCGUCUUCCUCAGCUUAAAGUCGCGGUUGCUGUCGAUGGCCUUCUUCUUCUUCUUAAGAAGCUCCGCGACCAUGGACUUGGCAUGGGAGAUGUGUCGAAGGAGGUAGACCUUGAGCAGGCUUCUGAUCUUGAAGGAAGUUGAGCUUGGGCAUGGCGAUUCCGCUCCCAAGCCAUAGAAAGACUGCAGGGGCUUUACACUGUAUUGCCUGGCCAUCACAUCAGGCUCAGCUACUCAGUUGGAGACCAUGGCCUUUAUAAGCAUCUUCCAAAGAGAGCUUUGUGUUCUUUCCUCAUACUUCCGAUUUGAUCCGUUCUUACAUGUCUUAAAGUUGCUUGUGAGGAUAAGAGCGAUCUCCUCUUACGUAAGGGAUCUCACGGGGAGGUUUUGUGACGACUUUUGCCACUCAAGCAAUUGGUGUUUCUGAGGAUGGGAUGUUACGUUGAAAGGAGAAGGAUGGUGUUGCGUAGAGGAUCUUUAGAACGAGGAAAGCAAAGCAAACGAGUAGUAACAUCAACACUCGGAUUUAGUGUGAAGUAUAUUAAGACUAAGAUUCAACCUAACUAUUUUAAGUCAGUAGUUCAAUUUCAAUGAAAUUAAUAUGUUAAUUAUUCUAUCAUAUCUGAUCAUGAUAUUUGAUAAGAGUUAGUUGUCUCAUCAAAUUGACAAUUGAUACAAAAAUUAAUCUAGUAUUAGAGUCAAGAUCAAAGGGCACGUCAAGACAUGAGAUCACUGCUUUAUAUAUAUCAAAUUAGAGUCUGAUGGAUGGAUGUACAUUGAUUCAAUCAAUGUGUUCAUCAUUUUAAACAUAUUAAGAGGAGGAUAUCUUGAUAUUAAAAAAAAAUAUGUUGGAAAAUAACAAUCAAAUUUUAUAAUCUUUAUCCACAUUGAUAGAGAAAAUAAUAAAUUAUCACAACAUGAAAAUAAUGAAAUCAAAAGAUUAAAACUCUCUGAUAAUAACAUUAACUUUAGAGCUUUUCUUGUGUUAAAAAAAAAAAAAGUGUCUAUCUUGCAUGUCUCAAUUCUCAAGUAUCAAUCAGCUUCACUACUUAAAAAGUCUUGUAUGCUUUAAACUAGCAGCUCUAUUCCAAAGCAAUGACAUCAUCGGAUCUCCUUACUGAGCAUGAGGUAGGUAUGCACACGAAAGCUGGGAGGCACUCACUGAGGGCUGGUUGGCUGCUCAUCCAUUUGGUGUGCAUGAGAAAGCGUGACUUGGUGAAAUGGUUGAGAUCUUCUUGUACUGAACUGACUUCAUGCAUGCAUGCAAUCAUUUACACAUGAGAGAAGAAGUUUAUACAUAUGUAAACUGGUUCAUAUAUAUGAUGGAAUUUUGUGAAGCCAUAUGAUUUCCAAUCGGAAGGUUUUAUGGCUGCUAACUUAAAGAACUAUUGUUGCAUGGAAGAUUUCUCAAAUAUGAAUCAUUUGGAAGAAUAUCAUUUUUUUUUUCGUUUUGAUUUGAUAAUAAUGAUCCAUGUGGUUCGUGGUUCAUAUAUUUUUUUCAUAUCAUAUGUAAUCCUAUAGAAAAUAAUGUCACUAUUAUUUUACCCAAACUAUGGUGUCUCAUAUGUACAUGAUCUUCAAAAUAUAAUAGAAGGAAAAAACCACCACCCCAAUGACCAACAAAAAUCUUAAAAUCCUUCCAAAAGAAAAAAAAAAUUGUUCCACCCUCCACAGCAUCAAAUCAGUAAAAAUGGGUGGAGCCACAACAAAAAGGUGGAACACAAAGGAGCAUGAGCAGUCCGGCUCGUCACAGGUGAUGUCACCCCUGGAACUUAUCAGGGUCGAACACAGCUGGCGGACGUUGUCACGUGACAUCAGGCGUGACGUUUUACUUGCCCACAGUACGAGUCCUCACACCUUCGCCCCACCCAACCCACUUAACGAUGUGGGCCCCCGAGAUUGUUUCCAUUCGUCGAAAAUAGAGCCUCUGAAUCCCAUGCACAUGGACGCAGCCCAUCACCAAAAGCUUCUUUCGGGAAGUCCCGUGACGUCCCAUGCCGCACCAACGACCAUCCACAGAGCCAUGCGCGUCUCCUUCCGGAUCAGAUGGACGGCUGAGAUCAUGGGACAGGGCCGAUGGGCAGUUUUGCCUGCGUGGAAACCGCGUCCGCAAAAGCGAGCCGCUCGAGUGUACGACGGCGGGGACCAUCCCGCAGUUAUGACAACGUAUUCUAUGACGAAGAGUAUGAACUCCACGUAAGCGUCUUCCGUGACGUGAUGUCUCUAUCUGGUGGAGGAGCCGUCAUCGCCCGCCGCUACGAGUUCCAGCGACCGGCUAUUUAAGGAGAGCGGAGGCGGGGUAGAUAAUCGAGUCAGCGAGUCUAGUCCGAGUGGAAAUCCUGGUUCCGUGGAGGAUCCUAGAACCAUCGAGGGUGUUCAUGGCGGCAGAGGUGGGAGCGAUGGAUCAGGGGAGCUUGAAGGGCAAGGUGGUGAUGGUCACCGGCGCCUCCGCCGGCAUCGGCCGGGAGAUAUGCCUCGACCUCGCCGCCGCCGGGUGCAAGAUCGUUGCCGCCGCGCGGAGGGUCGAUCGCCUCAAAUCCCUCUGCGACGAGAUCAACGGCUCCUCCAACACUGUCCAAGCCGUCGCCGUGGAGCUCGACGUCAGCCGCAAGAGCCCCGCGAUCGAGGCCGCCGUGCACGACGCGUGGAACGCCUUCGGCCGCAUCGACGCGUUGGUGAACAACGCCGGAGUUAGAGGUAAUUUUAGCCAUAACGAUUUCUGAUCGUUACACUGUCGUGCUCGAGAAAGCAUCUCCUGCAUCCCACAGCGUUCUACUGAUGUCCGCUGCGUGUGAGCUCAGGUGGCGUGUACUCGGCGGUGGACUGGUCCGAGGAAGAGUGGCACAGGAUCAUGACCACCAACCUAACCGGGCUGUGGCUGGUGUCGAAGCACGUGUGCAUACGCAUGCGAGAUGCGACGCAGAAGGGCGCGGUGAUCAAUAUCUCAUCCAUCGCCGGCGUUGCACGCGGCCAGCUGCCCGGAUCGCUCGCCUACACUGCAUCCAAGACAGGCGUGAACUCCAUCACGUGGGUGAGCUUGCCAUGUCUACUUCUCCUUCGACCGGCUUAGGAAUAAUCCAAACCGGAGAUGAGCCUCUCAGUCUCGUAAAACCUGUGCAGGUUAUGGCAUUGGAGAUGGGACGAUACGGGAUAAGAACGAACUCGGUGUGUCCUGGGAUCUUCAAGUCGGAGAUAACGGAGCGUCUCAUGGAGAAGGAAUGGAUCGGUAAAGUGGCGAGGAGGACAGUACCUUUGGGGACGUUUGGCACGGCGAAUCCUUCCGUCAUCUCGCUCAUCCGCUAUCUGGUCGAUGAUGCGUCGGAGUACGUGAAUGGGAAUGUGUUCAUCGUUGAUGCAGGUGCCACGCUCCCGGGGGUCCCCCUCUUCUCUUCCCUGUAAAUGGUGGUUUCUUAUAUGGGGCUUGCAAUAAAAAUUGAAAUAAAAAAUAUGUAUAUAUAUAUAUAUUUUUUUAUUUUUCAUGAGCAAAUAUAUAAUCUUUUCAGGGGAAAAAAUUGAAAGAGAAAACAGAGAUAAAAAUUAGAAUAGACAAAGGGCGUUGCAAAGCCUUUCUCCAAUCAGGCUUAACCAUCAGCCCAGAGAUUUGACGUUCUUUUGGGCACAGCACUUGUUUCGCCAGUACGAAUCUAAAAGCACGACACGGAAACAUCCAGAUCACUGAUCUCUCAUCUUCCGAACUCGGCUAAGUAUUCCUGUGGAUGCGAGAUCCUGUGAUCAGCGUGCGAGCUUACUAUUCAACCCACUAAUUGGCUGACCAGGUCAGCACGAUUGAGACGUCCUGGCCUCUCUUGACGUGGCCUCUACGACACCAAUGCAGGGAUUACUUCAAGUCAACGACGACGGAGAAAGACUUCGCAAGUUUCUUGCCGUCCAACAAAUAAUUCCUUUCAGUAGGCCGAUGAUCUUACCAGCGAGCAGCAGAGAAUAGAGCUCGAGAGACCGACGAAAGAUGGCGUCGCCCCCUUCUCCCUAUCUCUUGCCUUCGCUCAUCCUCACUCGCACUUUCCUCCUCGUCUUGCUACUAACCCAGACCAUCUCCUCCGCCCAGAGCUACUCCAACAUCACGCAGGGCACCACCCUCACGGCUGGCUCAUCGACCGGCUCCUGGCUCUCUCCAUCCGGCGACUUCGCCUUCGGAUUCUACCCCACCGACGCCCAAGCCUCCCUCUUCCUCGUCGCCAUCUGGUUCGAGUCCACCUCCCCCAAAGCCGUCGUCUGGUCCGCCAACCGCGACGCUCCUGUCCGAUCAGGCUCCACCCUGCAGCUGACCAGCGACGGCCGCCUCUCCCUAAAGGACGACGGCGGAAACGAAGUGUGGAGCGCGGGCCCUGCCAACGCCUCCACCGCCGCCGUCCUCGACUCCGGCAACGUCGUCCUCACUGCUUCCGGCGGCAUCUUGUGGCAGAGCUUCGAUCUUCCUACGGACACGCUCCUGCCGGGUCAAGUCUUGGGACUGGGCUCCGACCUUCGUUCCCAGCUCACCGACUCCGACUUCUCAGAUGGCCGAUUCGAGCUCGCGGCGCAAACGAGCGGCGAACUCCAGCUCCUACCGCUGGCCAUCCCCUCUGGAAACCAAUACGAUCCAUACUGGUCCAUCGACACGACCGAUUCCGGCUUUCAGCUCGUCUACAACGAAUCCGGCAGCAUAUACUUCGCUCUCACGAAUGGUACUCUGCUCAACGUAACUAUGGCUUCUGUCUAUUCCACCGAAGACUUCUUCCAACGCACGAGGCUGGAUCCCGACGGCGUCUUCCGCCAGUACAUCUACCCCAAGAGCGGCAGGGCGACCGGAUCCUGGAGUAGGAAAUGGAAUGCGGUGGCCAAAGUGCCGGCGGACAUCUGCCAAGAUCUUCAAUCCGACGGCGCUGGUAGCGGCACCUGUGGCUUUAACAGUUACUGCAGAUCCGGCGGAGAUCAGAGCGAGGUAAACUGCUUGUGCCCACCAGGGUACUCCUUCAUCGACCCGGAGCGGAAGUACAAAGGUUGCGACCAGGACUUCCCACCCAUCUGCAAACAAUACGAUCCUGCUCAGUUCAACCUGAUCCCCAUAAACAACGCCGACUGGCCCUUCUCGGAUUACGAGCACUACACGAACGUGAACGAAGACCAGUGCAGACAGUACUGUUUGGAGGAUUGCCUCUGCGCGGUUGCCAUCUUCUGGGACAGAAAGGAAUGCUGGAAGAAGAAGCUGCCGCUGUCGAAUGGAAAGCUGGGUAGCUAUAUCGACAGGACGGCACUGAUAAAAGUGUCGAAAACUAAUUAUACUUCCCUGUUGCCGCCAUCGGGUCCAGUUAUAUCUGUGGUGAAGAAGGAAAGGAAGACUUUGAUUCAGAUUGGAGCAGUGCUUCUGGGGUGCUCUGGAUUUUUUAAUGUGAUCUUCAUCGCGUUGAUCAUUGCAAAGAUCUUUGGUUCCCCUAGGGGGAGGAGUACGACGUUUCAGCCGCAGACCAGCAUGUCCGAAUUUAAUAUCAGAGUCUUUAGUUACAAGGAGCUUGAAGAAGCAACCGAUGGAUUCAAAGAAGAACUGGGAAGAGGGGCCUUCGGUUCAGUUUAUAAAGGUGUGUUGUCAUCCUACAUUAGCACUAAUAUUGCGGUGAAGAAGUUAGAUAGGCUGCUUCGCGAGAACGAGAAGGAGUUCAUAAAUGAGGUGAGAUCUAUUGGGCAGACUCAUCACAAGAAUCUGGUCAGAUUGAUUGGAUACUGCAACGAAGGGACGCACAGACUUCUGGUGUACGAGUACAUGCGAAACGGGUCGUUGAUUGGCUUCUUGUUCGGCAAUAUAAAGCUGCAUUGGCAGCAGAGGGUCCAAAUCAUAUUUGGAAUCGCAAGAGGAUUGCUUUACUUGCACGACGAGUGCAGCACUCCGAUCAUCCACUGUGACAUCAAACCUCAGAAUGUACUCCUGGAUGACAAUUUUGUGGCUAGGAUUUCGGAUUUCGGGUUAGCGAAGCUGCUGAGGGCUGACCAGACUCGAACCAAUACCGGCAUAAGGGGAACCAGAGGGUACGUAGCACCAGAGUGGUUCAAGAGCAUGGCGAUCACGAAGAAGGUGGAUGUGUACAGCUUUGGUGUGAUGAUGCUGGAGAUCAUAUGCUGCCGGAAGAACUUGGAAACAGAGAUCGGGGAAGAGGAGGAACCGGUGCUCAUUUACUGGGCUUACGAUUGUUUCAAGGAUGGGAUGGCGGAUCUUUUGGUGCAGCAUGACAAAGACGCACUGGCCGAUAUGGAGGAGGUGGAGAGGUUUGUGAAAAUAGCGUUUUGGUGCAUCCAAGAGGAUCCGUCGCUCAGGCCUUCGAUGCAGAAGGUGACUCAGAUGCUGGAAGGAGCAGUUGAAGUUUCUCUGCCACCCGAUCCUUCCCCAUUCCUGACCACAAAUUAGUCACAGAUUUCCUGAGUGCUUGGACUUGGGUUUGCUCUUCUAAUUCUCCUGAAACCCAUGGCUGGUGCAAGAAUCGCUGCAAAGCGCAUAUUGUGGUAGCAAACCAAGUGUAUUAUGGAAACUUAUCAUAUAGCCAGCCUUCUUGUUUCUAAUAUGCCUACUGUCAGUAUACAUAGAAGUCCAGUCUGCAAGGCUCUCGCCUAUGUUGAAUUUGGGAAGCACCAAUACAUUGGUCAUAGAUAGUAUCUUGUAAUUUAAACAAGAAACCAGUGAAAUAGUUUGCUGCAUAAUUCUUCCUGAAUACACUAAUUUAUUAUUUUCUUUUUUCUUGUGGUUAAAAUAUCUAUCAAACAGGGUAGGUAAUCAAGGAUAAGGUCGUUGUGGAAUUUGGGGAGAGAAAAAGAAGCAAUGAAAAAGAGUUUCUGUAAGAGAGAGAGAGAGAGAGAACAGUUGGGAUUAAGAAAGGCAUAUCAGGUGGCGUUAAAACUUGAUUCUGAAUCUUCAGAAGUUUUUAGAUAACUAUUACCUUGUUCUUCCAUAGAGAGACUCUGCAUGCGAACAUAGAUCUACCGAACGAAUCUGAGUUUUAUAUGAUCGAUCAUAUUUCUUAUUCUUUUCUCUCUCUUUUUUUUCCUAGUUUGUGUGAUGGUUUUCCCCAUUGUAUCCAUUGCUACGACAUCUUCUACCUUAACCUUUCUAGAUCUUCACCCGCUUUAACCUUUCUCAUAAAAUCCAUGCCUACCAUUGUGCUUAAUUAAAUUUACCUAAAUUAAAAACACCCUAAUAAUGCUGCAGUUUUGCACAAAAUUACAUGUUGAAUCUAAAAAACAAAAGAAAUAUCUUUGUGAAAAUAGCAACAAAUAUUCCAAAAUGAUAAAUUCGAUAUCAUAAAUAACCCCCAACUUUUCUAGAAGCAAUUAAAGUACAUAAUAGACAAGAAAGCAUACCUUCCGCAAUGAGAUGAAUGUUCUUUAGAACUGACCGUGUACUUUUACUACAGAAAAGUCAGUUAAGAAAAGAAGCAGAUCCACUGUAAGAUAGAUAUUUCAAAUGUAAAACUGGCAGAAUAUAAAUGGAUAAAUAUACAAAGUAUCUUUUGCUGUUUAAGCAGAAAUGCAAAGACAGGAAUGCUGUAACUUUUAGCAGAGUCACAAGCCACCAUCCGAGAAGGCAGGAAAGAAAAACAUAUGAGCCCGAUUGGAGCGCAAUAGAAAAACCAUCAUUAUCUAUCACUGUUCCUCUAUCCCCUUGGAACUAUGUGCCUGGUUUCUCAUCUCAAUUCAUGAUAGAGCCCCAUGGAAACAAUUCAUGUUUAUAAACAUUAUCCAACAAGUACAAAUAUAAUCAUAGACAAUUGUAAUCUGGAAUCCUUAAAGAAAAUCUCUUUUUUUUUUUAAAAGCAGGCAGAAAAUUUAACAAGUGAAUAGUCUUCAAGCCUUCUAUUAAUGACCUAAUCAGAUGGAUGGUUCAUUACCUAAUGAUGUAAGAAGCAACCUUAGGCGACCGCAAACCUAAACAAUGAACCAAUUAUGCAUAUCGUGAUUGGUUAGCUGAGUGGCCUACCUAGUAAUCGCACUAGAAUUAUGACAUAGAAAUUUCACAUUCCAUAUAACUAUGUCCCUGAAAUUACUGAAUAAUUUAGAACAUGUUAUAUUGGAACAUCUACCGGAGGCAAAUGAAGAAGUUGAAUCUUCAAAGAUAAAUUAACUGAAGAUAACAAAUGUAAGUCCCAACCAACAAACCUAAGUCAUUGGAUAUCAUUUAAUUGCAAUAACUGAGUUCACAAUUUGCUGAAUGAACAUAUUGGAACAGGUGGUCUAAGUACAAAACAUUUCUCUUGUGAAGAGCAUGAUCUGGUGUAGAACAAGAGUGACGAUGAGGCGUAUUUAGUUCUAAUAGAAUCCUACAAUCAAGGAGUUUAUAGGAUUUCCAAUCAUCUUUAACAAGCUAUUAAUGAGGGGAUUCUAGCAAAUUUAUCAUGUGGCAGAAUCAUCGGCCUUUAAAGGAUUAAGGUCAAAAUGAUUGAUGCUACAACUCUUUCAAGGGUGGGUUAAGAUCAUCUCUCAAUUAGAGCAGAUAGCUAGAUUCCAAAGGAAUGCCAAAUUGUGGCACAUAUACUUGAUAGCAGCGAAUGUUUUAGAACCGCAUAAGAAAAUAUACUCUCCAAUCAAAUGUUUCUUCUCAGUGCCAGAAAUCCAUAGCCUCGGUCAGCAAGCAUGAUUUCCCAACAGAAAGCUGCAGAUGAAAUAGAAAGCAGUGAAAGAGAACUAGAUCAUAGAUCAACGUAGGAACCGCAAACAUGACAGCGUGCCAAUCCAAUAAGGGGGAAAGGAACAGAGAACCAAUAGAACAAACAGAGGGGUUACGGAACAAGCUCACCUCAGAUUCAGAAGCCAUCGCUCUCAAACUCACACAUCCCCGGAGCUCGUCCAGUGCCGAUCCAUGGCCGAGAAACGGCGGUCCAGGCUACCUGUCGGAGACGAGGGACAUCGGCGCGUUGCAUUAGGAUACUUGACGGAGGAUUUCGAAGCAUUAGGGUUCAUUUAGAGAUCGGAUUUAGCGGAAGAAGAGGACCGAGAGAUGAACGAUAUGGAGAUAUCUCGAGAACUCGGAAGGCGGGCACUUACCGGUUUUAAGUUUCUUUUAAGGUUAAUUUAGGACUGAUAAUAAAUUACGUUUGUAUUUAGCUACCUUCGUCAUCUCACUUUUUAUACUUUAAAAUUUUAUAUUAAAUUCUUAUAAUUAUAAAAAUAAAAUAUUUAAAUCUAUUUAUCUUAACAUCAUCAAUUUUAUCAAAUAAAAUAUGAAAACAAAUGGUAAAAGGAUG
rnacentral:lncRNA from 1 species